GGAACAUGUUUCUUUUCCUCUUGAUUAACUUAUCUGCAAAGAGUGGAUUGAACAAAGUAUAUAUAUAUAAAGCGCAGGCAAUCGUCAGAUAGAUUAAAGGGUAAUUCUAAAAUUAUCUGCAAACAGGUUGAAUAGAAAACAAUGAAUAAUAUUAGUGUGGCAGUGUUGGUGGCUUUAGUCCUUAUUGAAUCAUUUACUGUUCAAAGUAGUAAGUAAACAUUUUACUGACAAAAAAGAAUUGUUAAUAUAUUGCAUAUUCAUUUUAUUCUUUGAAGAUUUUUUAUUAACUGCCUGUUUUUGUUUAAUUCUUUCAAGACUAUAUUCAACGUCAAACAAACUAUUUAAAUUUAUUAUAUGUUAUUGAAUUAUAGUUACUGCAAGAGAAGACGAAAACGAUAUUCACGAAAAAGUUGCUUGAUAUUCAAACUGUAAAAGGAAAAAGAAAAUAUAUAGUGUGUUUUUGCGCAUUACCCGUGUGACAUUUCUCUUACAUCUUAAAAUUUUUGAUAUCCAUUCAAAACUAUGACGAUGCAAUUCCAAUGUUUGAACAUGACUUACUUUUGGCUUUGAACUUUUCAGUAAAUGGGUGUGGCAUCAUUGUAUGUGAGCACAAGUCUGCGUACAUCACAUGUCCCGACCCUUUGACAAUAUCGGUACAAUCUGCAAUAUAUGGGCGGUCCACUGAUUCAUCUGUAUGCCCUGGGAGUGUCAAAACAACUCAUUGCGGAUCAGAAAGUUCAAUCUAUAAAGUCAAAAGGCAAUGCAAUGGCAAAAGUAUUUGUUUAUUGACAGCAACCAAUCGUCAAUAUGGAGAUCCUUGCCGUGGAACAACGAAGUACCUAGAAGUGGAAUACAAGUGCACUUAUGAUUUGCUUAACCACUACUAUGUCACACGCCGUUAGUGUGUUGAAGAUAUAUAAUCCCUGCGUUUUGUUUUGGCAAUCUGCUUUUUUUAUAAUGUGUACCGAACAUUAAAAUAAUAUUGUUUUG
rnacentral:lncRNA from 1 species